CCCUUAGAUGUUCUGGGCCGCACGCGCGCUACACUGAUGCAUUCAACGAGUUUCUUCCUGGUCCGAGAGGAAUGGGUAACCUUUUGAAAGUGCAUCGUGAUAGGGAUAGACUAUUGCAACUAUUGGUCUUCAACGAGGAAUUCCUAGUAGACGUAGUUCAUCAGACUGCAUCGAUUACGUCCCUGCCCUUUGUACACACCGCCCGUCGCUCCUACCGAUUGAAUGCUCAGGUGAGCCAUUCGGACUUUCAUCAUGCUGGUUUCCAGUUUUGAUGAAGGAAAGUCUUGCGAACCUUAUCAUUUAGAGGAAGGAGAAGUCGUAACAA
rnacentral:rRNA from 1 species